UCCUCAGCAAACCUGUAUAAAAUCUUCCAAUAAUCUAGAGGGAGCCAGACAUCAUGGGUUUUAACUGCAUUGCUGGGUGCUUGAGAUUUUGGCAUCUAUUUCUCAGACAACAGAAUGUUUGUUAAUACUAAGGAUGCCUAAUCUACUAAGUGACUUCAUAGUUUCAAGUGGGGAAAAAAACCUAAUCAAACCACUACUGGGAAUGUUUUUAUUUGUUUAGCAAGAACAAUUUUCAACUAAUAUUUCACUGCAAGACAAGACCACACAAGCAUCACUGAAGCCAUUCUUGUCAAAUGUUUCUUGGCCUGACAAAACACCUGCAGAAGAAAAUGAACAGCAGGAUAUUCUGAGGCUCUGCAAGGGGAAGUAGAAAUAGUUGCAAAAAAAAGAUGGAGAAAUAAUAUUUAAGUUUCCUUAAAAUACAACCUCAAUAAUACUGAAUAGGAGUGAAUAACUAAGAACAAUAGCACAAAAUAACAAAACUAGAAUAAAGGAACAAGAGAAAGAUGAUUUCAUGUGAGCCUAUUCAGACUAUGACUAUAAGAAACCUUCACACCAUGCCAGGUUAUUGAAAGAUAUCCUAAGAGCAGUUUGCAGCCUAAGGAAUAAAUUACUUUGUAUGUGAUUCAAG
rnacentral:lncRNA from 1 species